CUGCUCCUACGGGGCGCAGCAGUGGGGAAUAUUGCACAAUGGGGGAAACCCUGAUGCAGCGACGCCGCGUGAAGGAAGAAGUAUUUCGGUAUGUAAACUUCUAUCAGCAGGGAAGAAAAUGACGGUACCUGACUAAGAAGCCCCGGCUAACUACGUGCCAGCAGCCGCGGUAAUACGUAGGGGGCAAGCGUUAUCCGGAUUUACUGGGUGUAAAGGGAGCGUAGACGGCAGUGCAAGUCAGGAGUGAAAGCCCGGGGCCCAACCCCGGGACUGCUCUUGGAACUGCGUGGCUGGAGUGCAGGAGG
rnacentral:rRNA from 1 species